ensembl:lncRNA
UUUUCCUGGGAGCUUCGGUGUCCGGACAGGAUGCGGUGAGUUUGCGCUCGCUGUUAGCCAUGAAGCGGAGACUUCCAGACCCCCUUGUCUCCGACAUGAUCGCCCCAGACUGGAACUCUUCGGCUCGAAGCUCCACUCUCAGAGAAUCCAUCAGGAUUGUUUAUGAGAUCUCCGAAAGGCGUAACAGUGAUGACCUCACUCUGCCUCAGCCCCAGUGAAUCAUGGGAUACAGGAAGCAAGGUCUCUUAACGCCAGGUAAUGCAGAGACGUAUAUCAAAUCAACCUUGCUGCAUAGCUGGGAUGUCUGACUCAGGAGGUGUGUGUGUGUGUGUGUGUGGGGGGGGGGGUGGAAUGCCUGCACCCCCUCCUCCCUACCCCUUCCCCCCCCAACCCACACACAUACUUCCACCAAGGUUCUUCACACUAUUUUCUUAGUGCCUGUGUGUGUGUGUGUGUGUGUGUGUGUGUGUGUGUGUGUGUGUGUGUGUGUGUGUGUGUGUGUGUGUGUGUGUGUGUGUGUGUGUGUGUGUGUGUGUGUGUGUGUUCAAG